CCUCUCACCACUGGAUGCGCUGUGCCUGAAGGAUGGUGGCGUUUUAUUUUUUUGAACACUGUAUCAGAUGUUGUUAAGGUAUUGCCCCUCACUGCUGUAAAUUUGCUGCUCUCACCUUCUCCCAAAAAAGCCCUUGCACCCCUUAAUCUUCGCAAACUAAAGUCCUUUCGCAAGCCUCUCCUCUCCAAAGCUGUUUAGACAUGUGUUGCCUUCCAAAUCGUACAAAGAAACGCAGCAUCAGGUGAAGACAGAGCGUCUGAGUGAUGGGUCAGGUGAGAGACUGUUCAAAUGUGAGGAAGCCACACUGCAGGCUAAGAUUUCCUAAUUCGCAAGGUGCAUCUCAUAAUGCACCAUCAACACAGAUGGCUACAUGGAAACAAAACUCUUCAAGUGUGAGCCUUUCCUUUUGACCUUUGGCCCUGCUGAAGACAGCCAACUAAUUAAGUGUUGCUGAGAAUUCUCUACUUCCUACAGUGGCCAGUCAUCCGGAAUAGUAGAGGGAAUCCAAAACACAAUGGCUAUCUGUACCAUCAUAGUAUGGCAUAAGUAGUGUGCAGUUCGAUCUCCCCUUCGCAUUAUUCUAGAUGUUGAUGUAUGUUUCUUUCUGUUGUCUUUCUGUUGACUUAUUGAAGUAGCAAGUCAUUCCUGUCAGGUAGCACACAAUUCACAGUUGCAUGUGAUAUUGUCUGUAACCAGGAAUGUAUUUAUACAUUGAACCGCCCCACUUCGAAAGGUCAUCGUACCGUGUGGUAUCGUCAAUUUAUUGAAUUUGUCUUUUGACAUUUUUGGAUUUCUCUUCUAGGGUAUGGUAUAUUUUGUGUACUUUUUCUUAUUCAGUCUUAAUUGUGGUCAAAUGUUCAGGUAGCAGGGGAAUGGAACAGGAGAACUGUUUGAAUAUUACUCCAAUUCAUCCUUGAAUCUUUUUAUAACAUCUAGAUUGACCUCCUUCCCUUGAUGGAUGUCUACAAGUUCCAUCCUUCCUACCCUUGAUGGUAGCGGUGGCGUAAAACACACAGUUUUGUUUUCCAGGGGGUAUCACUUGUUCCUGUGCUGGAACGAAGUCAGGCCCAUGGUGACACAAUAGUAGCCCUUCUUCAUGUAGGUCACUUGAGUAGGCUGUAUAUCAGCUGACAUGGAUUCCAUGGUACAGUUUGCAGUUGUGUUAAAGUUUUCUUUGUCUUGCAAAUUUGAUAGCAGCUCAAGAUCGUUGAUUUUCCUGUGCUGCACCCCUCUAGGCUGGUAUGUAAUAUCUUCUGUCAUAUUUUUAUUGCAUAAGGAAGGACGCAAUGAUGCCUCACUAUAUCCUGUCCUAAAUAGCACAUUUUCAACAUUGUACACCUCUCCAGAUUGUAAAUUGUCAGUUAUCACAGUUAUAACUAAGGUUAUUCUGAACAUUUUCUCUUGUAUUAUAUAGUUAUUAUUUGUUGAAUACGUUUGAGUCAGACCUGUGAGUUUGUAACCAUUUAUGGUGGACGUUGUCUUAGUUGACUCAAACAGUUGGUUAUUGCUGAUCCAUUGAGGACUUGUUGAAUUUGCCUAAGGUUUUCUGAUGUUUGUUCAACCAUUCAUGAAGCAUAAACACUACAAACAUCAUUUCAGGCUCCCUUUUCUGAGGCCUUACUGGUUUGUUAUUUGUUUGGGAAUGGCUCUGAAGUACCAUUACCGUGGCCUCGAUUUACUGUGUCAUAUCCUGAUUAGCUUGGAGUUAUGUGUGUUGCGCCUCCAGUGGUUCACUCAAAAUCUUUUCAAGCUGUCUGUUUAAAGUUCAGAUAAUUUGGUCUAGGGUCAUCAAAUCAAUUGAAUUAUCUACGGAGAUUUGUGCAUUUAACAGGGUUGUUGCAUUAUAAUGGUCCAGACCUACUUUUGUGAUCAGUUUGAGAGUUUCCUUAUUGAACCCCAUUUUGGUGCCCCUUUCCUAUUGAAUUGAGCCAUCUGUUUUAUCACAAUUUCUGAUAAUCUGAAGUAUAAGGUUCUGGUCUUUCCUGAACAUGCUUAUAUCAGAGAUGUUCAACUCAUGGUGUACAUUGUUAUGUAUAAUUCUGUUUUCCUUUACCAGUGCUGGCCUGUUUUGAGGUUCCUUGGUCAGUUCUGGACUCAUGAGUAGCCUCAGGCCCUGGCUCUUAGUCUUGUAGUCAUGGUUGGCAUCAUUGUCAUGGGCAUUUUAUGCAUGAUCAAAACCAUUAUGCCCCUACUAUUCAUACCCAUUGUAUUAUUGUAUACAAGAAAGGCUGCCUGUUUGGUUUAAGUCCAGGGGUACUCACGCAUAAUAUGAUUGGAGCACAUGUCUCCCCAGACUCAUGUGUGUUUCUUUGGCUUCCCAUCCUUUUGUUGAUUUCAUGGUACACCACGUUGACCAAAUAUACUUGACACAACCACAGGAAACAGAGACUGUGGGUAUUUACUCAGGCAUUCUAUGUAAAUUGCACUUACGCCAUCAUCGUGAUUAACUAGAAUAUCUGUGGAAUGAUAAAAAUAAUUUCUCCUUUUUGUGGUUUGACGUCACUGUUUCAUUUUCCUUUCCAUUGCCUUGGAAAGUCUUAGCCAUUGGGGUUGUAGGCCUCCUUUUCGUCAAUUCAUGCAUCUAUCUCACAAUUGCUGCACAACUAUUUUUAUAUUUCCACAGCUAUUAAACAACCCUAGCGCUGUCUUAGUUCCUGAAUCAUCUUUGGUGUCUCAACUGGAUCUAUUUGCACAUAACCACAGUUUCUUUUGUGUUUAGCCCACAGUUCUGGGUAAAGCUUGCAAAUUGUUCUGUCUUCUCCCUUUACACUCCUAGUCUAUUUUAUCUGUCACUCCUGUUCAGGGGUAUAAUGCAUGCUGAUGCUCUGUGUUUUUUAACUCUUCAAAUUAUUGUACCUUCUAAAUCUACAAAUUCACCCAGCAAUCUGAAUAUCUCUAUUCCAAAGAUGGUUGUUUCAAUAUUGGGGCAUACAAAACUGACCAUCAGCUCUAUCCUUUCUGUUUCUAACUGCCCCCAUUCCCUCUGCUUUGCCUUCUUUCGUCGUCCUCCUCCUACUUGUGUUAAUGUAGCUUGUUCUGUAGUUAGGACGUAAUUAGUGAUAGGACCCUCAAUUUUGAUGUCUAAAAACAUUCUGAAGUGCUGAUCCAGUAACAUUGCAAUAAUAAACAUUCUCAAAUCACCCAUUCUCAUUUCUCUGUGGGCCGCUGCUACCUGUUUAGUUUGUAAAAGCUUCAGCAGCUUGCUGAAAUCUUGCUUGCUCAUUACCUCAGUUUCCUUAGACUCUUUAGUCUCCUUCUGUGUGUUUUUCUUCUGCUUUGGGCUACAUGCUUCU